CGGGGGGGGCAAGCGUUGUUCGGAAUUACUGGGCGUAAAGGGUUUGUAGGUGGCUUGUUAAGUCAGACGUGAAAUCCCUCAGCUUAACUGGGGAACUGCGUCUGAUACUGGUGAGCUUGAGUGCAGGAGAGGAACGCGGAAUUCCAGGUGUAGCGGUGAAAUGCGUAGAUAUCUGGAGGAACACCGGUGGCGAAGGCGGCGUUCUGGACUGCAACUGACACUGAAAAACGAAAGCCAGGGGAGCAAACGGGAUUAGAUACCCCGGUAGUCCUGGCCCUAAACGAUGAAUGCUUGGUGUGGCGGGUAUCGAUCCCUGCCGUGCCGCAGUUAACGCGUUAAGCAUUCCGCCUGGGGAGUACGGUCGCAAGGCUG
rnacentral:rRNA from 1 species